rnacentral:rRNA from 1 species
UAAUAGUGUAUAUUAAAGUUGUUGCAGUUAAAAAGCUCGUAGUUGAAUGUUGGUGUCGAACGAGCGGUCAGCUUCGGCUGUACUGCUCUCUCGACUCCUUCCUUCUGUGGACUACGUCGCACUUUACUGUGUGGCGCUAGGACGCAGAUCGUUUACUGUGAAAAAAUUAGAGUGUUCAAAGCAGGCCGUACGCUUGAAUACAUUAGCAUGGAAUAAUGGAAUAGGACGUCGGGCCUAUUUUGUUGGUUCUAGGAUCGUCGUAAUGAUUAAUAGGGACAGUUGGGGCCGUUUAUAUUCCGUAGUCAGAGGUGAAAUUCUUGGAUUUACGGAAGAUAAACUACUGCGAAAGCAUUCGGCAAGGAUGUUUUCGUUAA